rnacentral:lncRNA from 1 species
GCCCACCGGCGCACGAUUCCUCCACCGCUCCGGUGCGCCGGACUUGAGUUUAAUGCCCUUCUUGUGGAUUUUCUUACCGUCGGUGGCGUUGACCUCCACCGGAGCGCUCACCGAGAUCUUCUCGCGCUUUGUAUUCCAAAACAAGAUCUUGAACCUCACCUUUGUCUGCAGGUCCAUCCUGAACCACACCGUCCCGUUCGUCCGCGCCUCCGGCCACGGCACCGACGGCGUCUGCACCAACAUCCUCCGGCGGGCGUUCUUCUUAUGCCCCUGGUAAAACGCAGGCACUGUCAGAUUGCCCACCGAAAAGUUCGGGGUGAAGCCAUAGUAAAAG